rnacentral:rRNA from 1 species
AUGGGGAAGGCGGCGGCGGUGGGGACGGCGGUGGUGGUGUGCGCGGCGGUGGGCACGGCGGUCGUGCUCGGCCGGCGCCGCCGCCGCAGGGACGCGGAGCUGCUCGGCGCGGCCGAGGCCGAGCGCAAGAAGAAGGUGGCGGCCGUCAUCGAGGACGUCGAGCGCACGCUCGCCACGCCCACGGCCCUGCUGCGGGGCAUCUCCGACGCGCUCGUCGUCGAGAUGGAGCGCGGCCUGCGCGGGGACAGCCACUCCCAGCUCAAGAUGCUCAUCAGCUACGUCGACAACCUCCCCACCGGAGACGAACAUGGCUUGUUUUAUGCAUUGGAUCUUGGAGGUACCAACUUCCGUGUUCUGCGAGUCCAACUUGGAGGAAGGGAGAAACGUGUUGCCAAGCAACAGUAUCAGGAAGUCUCUAUUCCACCACACCUCAUGGUCGGAACUUCCUUGGAACUAUUUGAUUUCAUUGCUUCUGUAUUGGCCAAAUUUGUUGAAACUGAAGGUGACGAGUUCCACCUCCCAGUGGGGAGGCAGAGAGAGCUGGGUUUCACCUUUUCCUUUCCGGUAAACCAAUUAUCAAUAUCAUCAGGAACACUCAUCAAGUGGACAAAGGGAUUUUCAAUCAACGGCGCGGUUGGUGAGGAUGUUGUGGCUGAGUUGAGCAAGGCCAUGGAGAGGCAGGGGCUGGAUAUGAAAGUUUCAGCACUGGUUAAUGACACAGUCGGCACAUUGGCUGGCGGGAGAUAUAUGGAUAAUGAUGUGGUUGCUGCCAUAAUAUUGGGCACUGGUACAAACGCAGCAUAUGUUGAGCAUGCUAAUGCAAUUCCUAAGUGGACUGGACUACUGCCGAAAUCCGGAAAUAUGGUAAUCAACACGGAAUGGGGAAGCUUUAAAUCGGACAAGCUUCCACUUUCAGAAUACGACAAAGCAUUGGACUUCGAAAGUUUGAACCCUGGAGAACAGAUAUAUGAAAAGUUGAUUUCCGGCAUGUAUCUUGGAGAGAUUGUGCGAAGAAUCUUACUGAAACUGGCUCAUGAUGCUGCAUUGUUUGGGGAUGUUGUUCCAGCUAAGCUGGAAAUGCCAUUCGUACUUAGGACCCCAGAUAUGUCUGCCAUGCACCACGAUGCAUCACAUGACCUUAAAAUUCUGGGAAGUAAGCUAAAGGAUAUCGUUGGGGUUGCAGAUACUUCCCUGGAAGUAAGAUACAUUACUCGUCACAUAUGUGACAUCGUUGCAGAGCGCGGCGCACGCUUGGCCGCUGCUGGCAUAUAUGGCAUCCUGAAGAAGCUAGGCCGGGACAAGGUGCCAAGGGACGGCAGCCCGAUGCCAAGGACCGUGGUUGCCUUGGACGGUGGGCUCUAUGAACAUUACAAGAAGUUCAGCAGCUGCUUAGAGGCGACUCUUUCAGAUCUCCUCGGGGACGAGGCCUCUUCUUCGCUGGUUGCCAAGCUGGCCAAUGACGGCUCUGGCAUUGGAGCUGCUCUCCUCGCCGCUUCGCACUCCCAGUACGCUGAUAUCUACUAG